CACAAGUCCAGUGAGGUAGGAAGGACCGGGCAGGAACGCAAGGACGACUCCAUCCCAGGCUGGAGAAGAGCAGGGGGUAAGAGGUCCCCGAGUCCCAAAGCUGACCGUCUGGGUAGAAACCUCUGUCUUGAAGUUAUUCUGGCCGCCAUCUACAGAACUCUGGACGUGGGCACGGAAGGAGCUUGUCCAAGGGGUGCCACUUACUGGCCCUGUCCAGUCCUCACGCAAGAGGAAGGAGACACCCUCGGGGCUGUGGACUUGGGGCCCUGACCCGAAGAAGCUGGGCAUGGCACUGGGGACCGGAGGACGCCCCACAUUGAGCAGGACAGGCUGCCCCACAGUGGGCUCUCUGAUCUCUCUCUGGAGCACAGAGACUUCACAGGGAGGUUCAUCAGGGGGGCUGGGGGUGGGGUCCCCGCAGCCAAAGGUCUCUCCUUCCUGGGGUACGUAGUCUUCCAGGUCAGCCAAUGUUAGCACUCUGCCAUUGUGCGUAAGGAUUUUAGGGUCACGGCCCUGAAGGUUGCCCACGUCCUGGGGUUCUUCUAUUAGGGAGAUAUCCUCUUCUCUGUCGCUGCCUCCUUCUUCCCUCGCAAAGUUCUGUUCCUCCUGGGAGGCUCCAACCUCCUUUGGCUCAGGGCUAGCAGUUGCCCAGUCCACAUUGCCCAUUGAGUCCACACGGAAGACGAGGGGUUCACCAACGUGGACUACAGCGGGGCCGCGGGACACACUCUUGUUGUUGGAGUUGUUGGCAUUUGGGUCCUUGCCAGCGAUCCCACUAGGCAGUGUGAAGACGAUGCCCUCUCCACUGCUGGGCAUCUCUCGGACAGGAGAUGCGCCCCGUGACCCUGUCUUCUUCACCCGGACUUCAAUGGUUUCCUCCACCUCUAACCACUUGGGCUUGGGCUGCGAGGCUGGAGCGAGGGCUUCAGCCUCUGUCACAAAUAGUGCAGGCACCGGGGCCUUCCUGCUCCCUUCUGCCUCGAGCCUCCGGGAUGGACUGGCUCCUGGUGGAUACAGCAUCUCGGGGGUCAACAGCCCUGGCCUCCGUGGACUGGCAGAGCGGCGGGAGGGUGAACGGGAGGGAGACUUGCUGGGGGACUGGCGUCGGCCACGGGGACUCUUCACCACGGUGGUGAUGGUCUCUUCUCUGGUAGAGGGAGAGGGCCCAAGAAGAGAUGGGCACAGAGACCCACGGCUUCCCCCAGCACAAUGCCAUCAGCAUAUGCCAGAGCCCACGUUAGUGCACGUGUGAGUGAGGGAGCAGGGGAUAAGACAGCACCAACUCCUACACAUGCACUUGAGCCCAACCUGUACAAUCCUAGCUAAGAAAGCCAAAGAAACAAAGCACAAAGUCCCAGUGGUCAGCCUCAGACUUUGGUAUGGGAUCUCCAACAAGAGUCCCAGGGACCUCCUACCACCAAGUGAGGUGUGCUUUGCAAAUGUCCCCUGUGCUGGUCACCCCGCUUUUCCAUCCCCUGAGCAGGCUUUGUGCUUUGUCCCCUUGGGAUAGUCCCUGGCCAGCUCUCAGUGCCGGAAGCGCCUCAGUUAACAGGAUGGAUGGCUAGCCGAUGCAGCAGCCACAUGCACAAUACCAAGCUCAGGGUACAGCUGCCUCUGACCUGCAGCCCGUCUUCCUGCUUUCUGGGGUUGAAGGGGGUGAGAACAGGGAGGACUCAUCAGACCCAGGAGGACACCUGAAUUGGCUACUUAGCUCUGGACUGCUCUGGGCUGCCACAGGCCUUGUGACUUCUCACCUGCCCCGGUCCCUGUCUGCAUUCCACCUUCCAAAAUGGGAACGAGGGUGACAGGAGAGGGAGGCAGAACUUGGGCCCCAGGGUGAGUGGCAGACCUUGGCUAGGACUUUCCAAGCUUCUGGGUAUGGGCUCCAUUGCUUCUUGCUCCCAGCAGAGGUAUGGAUAGAGAAAUAGAAGGGCGGGGAACUUGCCCAGGGCUAUGUCACAAAUACUGGUUAACUGGGUUUCCUCUGGCACCAGGGGCCAUGGUCUAGAUAUCUCAAUGUGUCUGAUAAUACUGCUCCUCACGUGGCAGAUAUGGACAACCAUUGGUUUUGCCAAGCUCCAGCAUGGGGCCUUUCCAAGGCCGGGGUCGGGUGCACAGGCUGGGUGGCAUCAUGGGAGCAGCCCACCUUAGAAGGAGAGACGUGGAUGAAGGGCAAUAAGGGACAAGCCAGAUUCCACCCAAGGUCUGCAGACAGAAUUCUCUAGCAACACGGCCGCCCCAUAAGAGAAUCCCCUUACUGGGCUUCCCUGUCUCUUGUACCCCCUCUCAUCUCCUGGUGGAAGGCUUCCCAGAUUCUCCAGGUCCCACACAAUCCCACAUCCUGUGGGGUCACCAUGCUCUGAGCUCCUGGAAUCCACACAUAGGAUUUUGUUUGCGCUUUGAAAGCACCAGAGGAUGAAGAAAGGACUAGCUGGUGGAGGUGGCUCUCAGAUGGCCUCCUUACUUUCCAGAGCCUCAGUUUCCCCAUCUUCCAAAUGUAAGGGCUGGCCUUGGAGACACAAAUGCUCCAGGGCUAUGACACCUACCUACCAUUGUAGCAUUAUUUAGGUUAGGUCCAAAGAAUAAAACCCGGGUCACAUUU